AGUGAACGCUGGCGGAAGGCCUAACACAUGCAAGUCGAACGGCAGCACAGUAAGAGCUUGCUCUUACGGGUGGCGAGUGGCGGACGGGUGAGGAAUACAUCGGAAUCUACUUUUUCGUGGGGGAUAACGUAGGGAAACUUACGCUAAUACCGCAUACGACCUACGGGUGAAAGCAGGGGAUCUUCGGACCUUGCGCGAUUGAAUGAGCCGAUGUCGGAUUAGCUAGGUGGCGGGGUAAAGGCCCACCAAGGCGACGAUCCGUAGCUGGUCUGAGAGGAUGAUCAGCCACACUGGAACUGAGACACGGUCCAGACUCCUACGGGAGGCAGCAGUGGGGAAUAUUGGACAAUGGGCGCAAGCCUGAUCCAGCCAUACCGCGUGGGUGAAGAAGGCCUUCGGGUUGUAAAGCCCUUUUGUUGGGAAAGAAAAGCAGCAGGUUAAUACCCCGCUGUUCUGACGGUACCCAAAGAAUAAGCACCGGCUAACUUCGUG
rnacentral:rRNA from 1 species